GACGCCGAAGGAACGGCGCAGGCCGACCAAGGAUGGCGGGCCAGGGACAGUCGCAGGAUAAGCGGCUACUUCGUCAGGAUGACGAGCCCUGGGAAAGGUGAUGACACAAAACGGCGAGGCUAAUCCCUCGCCGUUUUU
rnacentral:sRNA from 1 species